AUGGCCUGGACUCCACUCCUCCUCGCUUUCCUCCUGUACUGCACAGGGUCCUUCUCUCAACUUGUUCUGACUCAAGCACCUUCGGCAUCUGCCUCCCUGAAAACCUCAGUAAAGCUCACCUGUACCCUGAACAGUGCCUACAGUGGUAACGGUGUGGAUUGGCACCAGCAAAGCCCAGGAAAAAGCCACCGGUUUGUGAUGCGUGUGGGUCCCAAUGGUCAGAUGGGAUCCAAGGGAGAUGGGAUCUCUGAUCGAUUCUCGGGAUCAGCAUCUGGCCCGAAUCGGUUCCUGACUAUCCAGAACAUCCAAGCAGAAGAUGAGGCUGACUACUACUGUGCAGACUCUAUAGCAGUGGGAGCAGCUAUGAUUAACCCACAGUGA